UACGUAGGCAGCGAGCGUUGUUCGGAGUUACUGGGCGUAAAGCGUGCGUAGGCGGUGUCUUAAGUUUGUUGUGAAAUCUCCCGGCUCAACUGGGAGGGUGCGGCGAAUACUGAGAUGCUGGAGUGCGGGAGAGGUAAGCGGAAUUCCUGGUGUAGCGGUGAAAUGCGUAGAUAUCAGGAGGAACACCAGUGGCGAAGGCGGCUUCCUGGACCUGUUCUGACGCUGAGGAGCGAAAGCGUGGGGAGCGAUCCGG
rnacentral:rRNA from 1 species